rnacentral:rRNA from 1 species
AGAGUUUGAUCAUGGCUCAGGAUGAACGCUAGCGGCAGGCUUAACACAUGCAAGUCGAGGGGUAGAGGUUGCUUGCAACCUUGAGACCAGCGCACGGGUGCGUAACGCGUAUGCAACCUACCUUUUACAGAGGGAUAGCCCAGAGAAAUUUGGAUUAAUACCUCAUAGUAUAUAUCUUUCGCAUGUUAGGUAUAUUAAAGUUCCAACGGUAAAAGAUGGGCAUGCGUCCUAUUAGCUAGAUGGUAAGGUAACGGCUUACCAUGGCUACGAUAGGUAGGGGUCCUGAGAGGGAGAUCCCCCACACUGGUACUGAGACACGGACCAGACUCCUACGGGAGGCAGCAGUGAGGAAUAUUGGACAAUGGGCGCAAGCCUGAUCCAGCCAUGCCGCGUGCAGGAAGAAGCAUCUAUGGUGUGUAAACUGCUUUUGUACAGGAAGAAACAUCCCGACGUGUCGGGACUUGACGGUACUGUAAGAAUAAGGAUCGGCUAACUCCGUGCCAGCAGCCGCGGUAAUACGGAGGAUCCAAGCGUUAUCCGGAAUCAUUGGGUUUAAAGGGUCCGUAGGCGGUUUGGUAAGUCAGUGGUGAAAGCCCGCAGCUCAACUGUGGAACGGCCAUUGAUACUGCCAGACUUGAAUUACAAGGAAGUAACUAGAAUAUGUAGUGUAGCGGUGAAAUGCUUAGAUAUUACAUGGAAUACCAAUUGCGAAGGCAGGUUACUACUUGUGGAUUGACGCUGAUGGACGAAAGCGUGGGGAGCGAACAGGAUUAGAUACCCCGGUAGUCCAA